GGAAGAGAGGAAGGAUGGAUGUUCUGGGAGGUGUGCCAGGGGUGGGGAAGGAGGUGGCUCUGAGGAUGCUGUGGACAGCUCAAACCAGCAGCAGCUGGCCAGGAACACCCUGAUAUUCCUGGAGCCACUCUGGGGACAAAAGCAGGGGAUGUGGCUGUUCAGCCUGAGGAUGAAGGCUGAGCUGGGGCACAGAGGGUGCAGGGCACACUUGGGUUUGCUGCCCUGGCACAGGGAAUUCUCCCAGAGCAGUGCAGGAGCUCUGGGGACCUGCACUGUUAUGGAGAUAACUGCAUGGAAAAUGUCAGGGCAGGUCAAAUGUCUGGGUUUGGGGAGAAAAACCCUGACCCCUCCUCUGCCCUCAAAAGGAAGAAAAACAGACUUAAAAGCAAAAGAUCUUAUACGGUGCUUCCAAAUAUCCAGCAGCAGUUUAUCACUGGAUUAAAAUCUACAAGAAAUAAGUAUCCAAUGGUGCAAACUUCAGGCUCAUUGCCGUAUUCAAGAGGGAAAAUAAUGUUUUACAAAAUACUCUUCAAACUUCCAAAAUUAGCAUCACCAAAGAAAAAGUACCAGUGUAUUUGUAUAUUCAGGAAAAUGACUCCUGAAGGAAGUCUUCCCAAAAUUACUUCUGGCUCUGUGUAAUUCAGGGAGAUAGAUGCAUAUGCCCAUGAAUUGUUUAACUGGAGAAAUGUCUUUUAUUCCUAUAUAGCAGAUGCACAAUGGGAAUGGUUUAUAACUUAGUCUUUUAAAUAAUAAAUAAAUGCUGACAUUCUCAGCUGAGACAUCCUGAUUUUUGUGUACUGUGUAAUACUGAAGUGUACAAAUAUUUUUUUAGAAUUAUUUUUCCCUUUCUAAAAAGAACAUGAAACCUCAAGAAUAUGAUAAAACAUCACAGUUGGUUUCUAAAUGCUUUGCAUCUUAAUAUGGUUGAAGUUAAGGCAGUAAGUAAUUUCUGAGUUUUUCCCUUGAGCCGCGUAGUUCUUUUCAUAUGUAAUUAUUCUCUGAGUGCAUUAGAUAAUGCUAUGGUUCCCACAGCUGUAUACACAUCUAUAAAUCAUUAAUGAGGCAGUUAACUGAAACAAAACUAUAAAAGAUUUGCAUUACCCGGCAGAACCCAGCCUUAAUUGACUCCCAGUUAUUUACAAUUAAUUUUUCCAUUUGGAAUAAUGAUUGCAAGCAACUUAGGGUUUUUUAUUACUGAGGAAUUAGAUGCUGACUAUUCGUCAAAAGUUUUUACAGAGAGGCUGUGUCAGUGGACAGCAAUGAGCUGGAGGCAAUGUGAUUUUUACAUGCACAUACUCUCCCUCACCCUGGCUGAGGGGAUGGGGUGGGAGGGGGCACGUGCAAUAAAAUACAGACAGGAGCCAGCACAAACUUUUUUUUGUCCUUUUUAUCACAUACAUAAGUUUCGCAACAAUUAAUUUCUUCUCUUUACAGCAUCCAGCUGAAAGGCAAUAGGAUGAAUAGAGCUGGCUGCAGUUCUAUACAGAAUAAACUGCAUGAAUGAAGAGGAUGUGGUUCCCCCUCUGUUCCAGCUGACACCAAGGAGGAGAAUGCAACAAUUUGCACGGAAUAGCUUUGGACUGAUCUGCAAAGGACAAUAUUAUAUUUCAUAAUAAUGUUCCAAAUGUUAAAGGAUUUUUCCUGCCAAAACCUCUCUUUGUCAUCAUCAGCUGAUGGCACACAGCUCUGGGAAUAAACACUUUCAGCUAACAGCAGGAAUUGUCAGGGGAAACACGAAACAAGUAUUUCUCCCUGACACAGAAUGAAAUAUAGGAUUAAAGUUAAAUGCCAAAUCCUACCAGCACUGGAGCAAAUUAAGGUUUAUUUUUCAUUCCUGUUAAUCCUUUCCUCUCUUCUUAGCUAAUUCAUCUUGUUUCACUUAGUGCCAGUGGUUUUUUGGCCAGUUUGGUGGAUGGGGGGCACAAUCCAUUUUAGGCAUCUGGCUUUGGGUAACAAGUGAAAGUUCAGGCAAAGCCCAGAUCCUAAAGGAGCACCCUGCAGGCUCCUUGCUGUGUCCAGCUCUCCAAAGGCAGGGAAGUGUGACCAAAAACACCUCCCAGCCCACCCUGCAGCAAAGUCCAAAGGUGCCCUGGUCCAUCCAUGUGCUGCUGAGACAUUCAAGUGCUUCAUGCAGAGCAUUUAAAUCAGGCUGUGUGCAGCAAAAACUCUUUAAUAACCUUAAUGGCAGAGGGGUUGGGCUGCAACACUUAUUGUGAGUGGACUGUGACACAAAACUUACCAUAAUGAAAUCAUUUCAGGUAACAACUCAGAAGGACUGAGCUUGUCUCCACUGUUUUACUUGGGAUUUUCUUGUGAAAAGUAAGUCUGGCCCGCUGGGGGCUGAGUGAAGCACACAGUGAUUAAUUAGAGCUGGACAGAUUUUGUAUAGUUCAAUAUGAACAUGUCACUUUUCUGGCUGCUUCAUCUCCAUCUUCCCUCUGACCAGCCAGAAUUUAUUCCAGAAUGCUUGCUCUGGUACCAGGAGCAGCAGGUAUGUGUGUGUGUAUAUAUAUUUUUAUAUCUACACAGCAAAACCCUCUUUUCCCAUAGCUAACCACUCCUGGAGACAAAAAAGACAAAAAAUAAUAGAUGUUGAAAGGGACCUACUGCUCAGUGAAUACUCAUUUCAGUGUCCUUUCUGAAAGGGCUGUGAAAGCAUUUUCAAACAUGGAAGGCUGAAUGUAUGUUAAAAUAAUUAAACUAUUAUAAAGCAUCCAGUUUUUAAAGUAUCACUUAUCAUAAGAACAUUUUAAUGUAUGGUGCUGUAUUUGCUUUCAUAAUUUUGGAUUAUGUCAACCGAAUCAUAUAAUGAAGAUGUAGUAAAAUCUUACUGCAUUUGUAACUGAAA